GGUUAAGCGACUAAGCGUACACGGUGGAUGCCCUGGCAGUCAGAGGCGAUGAAGGACGUGCUAAUCUGCGAUAAGCGUCGGUAAGGUGAUAUGAACCGUUAUAACCGGCGAUUUCCGAAUGGGGAAACCCAGUGUGAUUCGUCACACUAUCAUUAACUGAAUCCAUAGGUUAAUGAGGCGAACCGGGGGAACUGAAACAUCUAAGUACCCCGAGGAAAAGAAAUCAACCGAGAUUCCCCCAGUAGCGGCGAGCGAACGGGGAGGAGCCCAGAGCCUGAAUCAGUGUGUGUGUUAGUGGAAGCGUCUGGAAAGGCGCGCGAUACAGGGUGACAGCCCCGUACACAAAAAUGCACAUAUUGUGAGCUCGAUGAGUAGGGCGGGACACGUGGUAUCCUGUCUGAAUAUGGGGGGACCAUCCUCCAAGGCUAAAUACUCCUGACUGACCGAUAGUGAACCAGUACCGUGAGGGAAAGGCGAAAAGAACCCCGGCGAGGGGAGUGAAAAAGAACCUGAAACCGUGUACGUACAAGCAGUGGGAGCACGCUUAGGCGUGUGACUGCGUACCUUUUGUAUAAUGGGUCAGCGACUUAUAUUCUGUAGCAAGGUUAACCGAAUAGGGGAGCCGAAGGGAAACCGAGUCUUAACUGGGCGUUAAGUUGCAGGGUAUAGACCCGAAACCCGGUGAUCUAGCCAUGGGCAGGUUGAAGGUUGGGUAACACUAACUGGAGGACCGAACCGACUAAUGUUGAAAAAUUAGCGGAUGACUUGUGGCUGGGGGUGAAAGGCCAAUCAAACCGGGAGAUAGCUGGUUCUCCCCGAAAGCUAUUUAGGUAGCGCCUCGUGAAUUCAUCUCCGGGGGUAGAGCACUGUUUCGGCAAGGGGGUCAUCCCGACUUACCAACCCGAUGCAAACUGCGAAUACCGGAGAAUGUUAUCACGGGAGACACACGGCGGGUGCUAACGUCCGUCGUGAAGAGGGAAACAACCCAGACCGCCAGCUAAGGUCCCAAAGUCAUGGUUAAGUGGGAAACGAUGUGGGAAGGCCCAGACAGCCAGGAUGUUGGCUUAGAAGCAGCCAUCAUUUAAAGAAAGCGUAAUAGCUCACUGGUCGAGUCGGCCUGCGCGGAAGAUGUAACGGGGCUAAACCAUGCACCGAAGCUGCGGCAGCGACGCUUAUGCGUUGUUGGGUAGGGGAGCGUUCUGUAAGCCUGCGAAGGUGUGCUGUGAGGCAUGCUGGAGGUAUCAGAAGUGCGAAUGCUGACAUAAGUAACGAUAAAGCGGGUGAAAAGCCCGCUCGCCGGAAGACCAAGGGUUCCUGUCCAACGUUAAUCGGGGCAGGGUGAGUCGACCCCUAAGGCGAGGCCGAAAGGCGUAGUCGAUGGGAAACAGGUUAAUAUUCCUGUACUUGGUGUUACUGCGAAGGGGGGACGGAGAAGGCUAUGUUGGCCGGGCGACGGUUGUCCCGGUUUAAGCGUGUAGGCUGGUUUUCCAGGCAAAUCCGGAAAAUCAAGGCUGAGGCGUGAUGACGAGGCACUACGGUGCUGAAGCAACAAAUGCCCUGCUUCCAGGAAAAGCCUCUAAGCAUCAGGUAACAUCAAAUCGUACCCCAAACCGACACAGGUGGUCAGGUAGAGAAUACCAAGGCGCUUGAGAGAACUCGGGUGAAGGAACUAGGCAAAAUGGUGCCGUAACUUCGGGAGAAGGCACGCUGAUAUGUAGGUGAAGUCCCUUGCGGAUGGAGCUGAAAUCAGUCGAAGAUACCAGCUGGCUGCAACUGUUUAUUAAAAACACAGCACUGUGCAAACACGAAAGUGGACGUAUACGGUGUGACGCCUGCCCGGUGCCGGAAGGUUAAUUGAUGGGGUUAGCGCAAGCGAAGCUCUUGAUCGAAGCCCCGGUAAACGGCGGCCGUAACUAUAACGGUCCUAAGGUAGCGAAAUUCCUUGUCGGGUAAGUUCCGACCUGCACGAAUGGCGUAAUGAUGGCCAGGCUGUCUCCACCCGAGACUCAGUGAAAUUGAACUCGCUGUGAAGAUGCAGUGUACCCGCGGCAAGACGGAAAGACCCCGUGAACCUUUACUAUAGCUUGACACUGAACAUUGAGCCUUGAUGUGUAGGAUAGGUGGGAGGCUUUGAAGUGUGGACGCCAGUCUGCAUGGAGCCGACCUUGAAAUACCACCCUUUAAUGUUUGAUGUUCUAACGUUGACCCGUGAUCCGGGUUGCGGACAGUGUCUGGUGGGUAGUUUGACUGGGGCGGUCUCCUCCUAAAGAGUAACGGAGGAGCACGAAGGUUGGCUAAUCCUGGUCGGACAUCAGGAGGUUAGUGCAAUGGCAUAAGCCAGCUUGACUGCGAGCGUGACGGCGCGAGCAGGUGCGAAAGCAGGUCAUAGUGAUCCGGUGGUUCUGAAUGGAAGGGCCAUCGCUCAACGGAUAAAAGGUACUCCGGGGAUAACAGGCUGAUACCGCCCAAGAGUUCAUAUCGACGGCGGUGUUUGGCACCUCGAUGUCGGCUCAUCACAUCCUGGGGCUGAAGUAGGUCCCAAGGGUAUGGCUGUUCGCCAUUUAAAGUGGUACGCGAGCUGGGUUUAGAACGUCGUGAGACAGUUCGGUCCCUAUCUGCCGUGGGCGCUGGAGAAUUGAGGGGGGCUGCUCCUAGUACGAGAGGACCGGAGUGGACGCAUCACUGGUGUUCGGGUUGUCAUGCCAAUGGCACUGCCCGGUAGCUAAAUGCGGAAGAGAUAAGUGCUGAAAGCAUCUAAGCACGAAACUUGCCCCGAGAUGAGUUCUCCCUGACUCCUUGAGAGUCCUGAAGGAACGUUGAAGACGACGACGUUGAUAGGCCGGGUGUGUAAGCGCAGCGAUGCGUUGAGCUAACCGGUACUAAUGAACCGUGAGGCUUAACCUU
rnacentral:rRNA from 1 species